rnacentral:lncRNA from 1 species
UGAGAUUCCUGAUCACCCUCUCCAUCCCAAGUGUUGCAGGCCAUUUUGCCCGGGGCCCAAUAAACUCAAAAUAAAAGCCCAAAUUACAGUCCAUAAAGCCCAAUACAACACAACCCAAACAAAUAGCCCAAUAACCCGAUACCCAACCACUUACUUAAAACAGACCUAACCCAGCAGAACCAGCCCAAUAACCAAAACCCUAACAGCCCACUAGACCCAAAACAAGGAAAAUCUAGCAGAAAGCAGAAGAACCCUAGGCGCCGCUCCUAGGGUCUUCUGACCUUUGGUCUUCUGCCCACCUGCUCUGCCAGCAACCACCGCCAACUGCCACUGUCACCUCCACCCACGUGCGCCCAUGCCUGCAAUGACAGAAAGGAAGCAUUAGCAUGGAAAAUAGACUAAAAAAAUCCAUGUAAAUCGGCUAUAAAGCCACUAAAAAUCUUUGUAAAAAGGGUUCGAUUUUUUUUAAGCAAUAUUGAAGUAAUAGAAAGAAAAAAUCAGUUUAAAGGUGAUAUUUUAGUCUCUUUUUCUUCUUUUCGAUUCGCAUUUUUUUUGUUGUUAAUAAGUUUAGAAAAUAAUAAAAAGAAACAUACCUGAACGCCGAGUUUGGGGACAUCGCCGGAGUCCUUCAGGUCACCGAAAAUGGACAAGGAUGGCAGCCCUUGUUUUUUUUUCAUUGGCUUCAGGGGUAGGAAAACCAGAUCUAUAAAUGGCUUCUGAAACAGGGCUAAAAAUCGACCUUUCGCCUUCUGACCGCCGCCUAAGGCGGCGCCGGCGCCGGUCGGCGCGGUGGCUUGCGGUCGAGCCCCUUGGCCGGAAAGGAGGGGGUUGGGGAGAGGUUUUGGAGCUUUUUUUUUGUUUUAAAC